GGGGAAUUUUCCGCAAUGGGCGAAAGCCUGACGGAGCAAUACCGCGUGAGGGAGGAAGGCUCUUGGGUUGUAAACCUCUUUUCUCAAGGAAGAAAAAAAUGACGGUACUUGAGGAAUAAGCAUCGGCUAACUCCGUGCCAGCAGCCGCGGUAAUACGGAGGAUGCAAGCGUUAUCCGGAAUGAUUGGGCGUAAAGCGUCCGCAGGUGGCUAUGUAAGUCUGCUGUUAAAGAGUCUGGCUCAACCAGAUAAAGGCAGUGGAAACUACAUGGCUAGAGUACGUUCGGGGCAGAGGGAAUUCCUGGUGUAGCGGUGAAAUGCGUAGAGAUCAGGAAGAACACCGGUGGCGAAAGCGCUCUGCUAGGCCGCAACUGACACUGAGGGACGAAAGCUAGGGGAGCGAAUGGGAUUAGAUACCCCAGUAGUCCUAGCCGUAAACGAUGGAUACUAGGCGUGGCUUGUAUCGACCCGAGCCGUGCCGUAGCUAACGCGUUAAGUAUCCCGCCUGGGGAGUACGCAGGCAACUGUGAAACUCAAAGGAAUUGACGGGGGCCCGCACAAGCGGUGGAGUAUGUGGUUUAAUUCGAUGCAACGCGAAGAACCUUACCAGGACUUGACAUGUCGCGAAUUUCUGUGAAAGCAGAAAGUGCCUUCGGGAGCGCGAACACAGGUGGUGCAUGGCUGUCGUCAGCUCGUGUCGUGAGAUGUUGGGUUAAGUCCCGCAACGAGCGCAACCCUCGUUUUUAGUUGCCAGCAUUAAGUUGGGCACUCUAGAGAGACUGCCGGUGACAAACCGGAGGAAGGUGGGGAUGACGUCAAGUCAGCAUGCCCCUUACGUUCUGGGCUACACACGUACUACAAUGCUACGGACAAAGGGCAGCAAGCUAGCGAUAGCAAGCUAAUCUCAUAAACCGUGGCUCAGUUCAGAUCGCAGGCUGCAACUCGCCUGCGUGAAGGAGGAAUCGCUAGUAAUUGCAGGUCAGCAUACUGCAGUGAAUUCGUUCCCGGGCCUUGUACACACCGCCCGUCACACCAUGGAAGCUGGUAGUGCCCGAAGUCAUUACCCCAACUGUUCGCAGAGGGGGAUGCCUAAGGCAGGACUGGUGACUGGGGUGAAGUCGUAACAAGGUAGCCGUACCGGAAGGUGUGGCUGGAUCACCUCCU
rnacentral:rRNA from 1 species